UCUAGUAUACCCUUCUAGCCCAAGAAUCUGCAUCCUUGGUCUCAACAUUUAAGCUUUUAUAGUAUCCGAGAUCUGAGCGCUUAUACGGACAGACAGACAGAAAUAUAACUUCGAAAGUUGUCAAUAUCUUGACCGGUUUUAUGUCAUUGUUUUUAAUUCAUUAAAGGCUUGCAUAAAAUGGUCGUCCAUUAACAGUUGCUGUUAUUUAACUUUGUCAAAAGGACUCGGAUUUUAAUGUGGCCUACCCUACAAGAUUUGUAGAUUAAUUAUGCUGUGGUCUGCAUUGAAAUAUUUCAUUUUAAAGUUGGCAGAAAAUGGGCCACCCCUUACACUUUCGAAAUCUGUACUAGUACAACUUGUUUAAAAGGACUUGGACUCCGAAAAGCCAUUAAAAAGUUAUAAGCAAAAAAGGAAUCGCGCAGGGCGUGAUGAACAAUGUCGGGAACAGUCUCUUUGCUGCUUGCAUAUCUCCAUCUCCCUCGCACAC